rnacentral:rRNA from 1 species
UACGUAGGAGGCGAGCGUUAUCCGGAUUUACUGGGCAUAAAGAGGGCGUAGGCGGCUUUUCAAGUCGGAUGUAAAAUCUCCCGGCUCAACUGGGAGGGACCAUUCGAUACUGAUGGGCUAGAGGGUAGCAGAGGGAAGCAGAAUUCCCGGUGUAGUGGUGAAAUGCGUAGAUAUCGGGAGGAAUACCAGUGGCGAAGGCGACUUUCUGGGCUAUUACUGACGCUGAGGCCCGUAAGCGUGGGGAGCAAACAGGAUUAGAUACCCGAGUA